UACAGAGGGUGCGAGCGUUGUCCGGAAUUACUGGGCGGAAAGGGCGCGUAGGCGGCCUGGUCAGUCGGAUGUGAAAGCCCGGGGCUCAACCCCGGAACGGCAUCCGAGACGGCCAGGCUAGAGACCGGGAGAGGAGGGUGGAAUAGCCAGUGUAGAGGUGAAAUUCGUAGAUAUUGGCUGGAACACCGGUGGCGAAAGCGGCUCUCUGGCCCGGUUCUGACGCUGAGGCGCGAAAGCGUGGGGAGCAAACAGG
rnacentral:rRNA from 1 species